rnacentral:lncRNA from 1 species
AGUACAAAUGCCUGUGCGUUGCACCGGGCGAAAAAUGAAAUAUAACCUACUCCUGUGCCAUUAUGCAAUAAUUUUUUAAUUCAAUUUUACGGGGACAUUAUCUUCUAGUGCUUUGACACAAAUCACCCUUCUACUUCUUCCUUUACCCACUGUCCCUGUGUCUCCAAUCAAAACACAUUAUCACAAUAUACCUGUAAAAAAGGACACUAUCACCAUCAACGAAACAGGUCAUUCAUAACCCUCCCACGUGCACACUUUGAAUUCCAAACACGUACCACGCCAUCAGCACUCAGCAUCAAAUUCUGACUACCAUCGCUGACAUGUAUGCACCAUACUCGGCACCCUUCCAAUCAGCUCACUCCAUUUUCCAUUCCCUCCUCUCUUUACUCUUCCUCAUC